rnacentral:rRNA from 1 species
GAUGAACGCUAGCUACAGGCUUAACACAUGCAAGUCGAGGGGCAGCAUGAACAUAGCUUGCUAUGUUUGAUGGCGACCGGCGCACGGGUGCGUAACACGUAUCCAAUCUACCCAUGGCUCGGGGAUAGCCUUUCGAAAGAAAGAUUAAUACCCGAUGGUCUCGGUUUAAGGCAUCUUAGACUGAGUAAAGAUUCAUCGGCGAUGGAUGAGGAUGCGUCUGAUUAGGUAGAUGGCGGGGUAACGGCCCACCAUGCCUACGAUCAGUAGGGGUUCUGAGAGGAAGGUCCCCCACAGUGGAACUGAGACACGGUCCAAACUCCUACGGGAGGCAGCAGUGAGGAAUAUUGGUCAAUGGACGAGAGUCUGAACCAGCCAAGUAGCGUGAAGGAUGACUGCCCUAUGGGUUGUAAACUUCUUUUGUUUGGGAAUAAAGUUCGGGACGUGUCCCGUUUUGUAUGUACCAUUCGAAUAAGCAUCGGCUAAUUCCGUGCCAGCCGCCGCAGUAAAAC